rnacentral:rRNA from 1 species
UACGGGGGGAGCAAGCGUUGUUCGGAUUUACUGGGCGUAAAGGGCGCGUAGGCGGCCACCGCAAGUCGACUGUGAAAUCUCCGGGCUUAACCCGGAAAGGUCAGCCGAUACUGCGGGGCUAGAGUGCAGAAGGGGCAACUGGAAUUCUCGGUGUAGCGGUGAAAUGCGUAGAUAUCGAGAGGAACACCUGCGGCGAAGGCGGCCUUCUGGACAGUGACUGACGCUGAGACGCGAAAGCGUGGGGAGCAAACAGG